UUUCAGUCACAGAUCCUUGAGCCGACCUAAUUGAGCUAUCGGAGGUGUUGCGGUCUUUUAGCAAACAUGCCCUAUAUUCUAUGGUUUGGCAUCUACAGGAUGCCAUCUCUGGUCAUGGAUCCACUAUGGCUGCUUCGUCCUUCACUUAGGACCUUCUCACCCCCACAGAGAUCAGAGAGAAAAAUAUAUCUUGGAAGCAGGAACCCUUACCUCAUAAGAUGGGUUAUGACUAUGCCGUAGGUGACGUGCGGAAAGGCGACCAAAGAGUACAUGAAGAAUUCUUGCUAUCAACUAGGGCUGGAUGCCCCCAGGAAGAAUGCCGUGAGUCAACUUUAAUGACUAAUAUGUUAAUUUCUUCUAGCUACACAAUAUGAGAUAUUGCUUCUUAAUUAACGCUUACUGCUACGUAGUAAGAUGACAAUGGGAUUUUGUUUCUCGAGUUGGCACUCAGUAGUAAAAGUGGUUUAUACUUCGAAUAGUUGAGCAGAAAACUGGCGUGUCAUGGCUCCUAAUGUUACAGAGCAAGUGGACAGACUCUAUCCCCCCCUCUCUCUAGACUUUGUUUUCUAGGUUUGGUUGGGUACAAAAGGCUAGAUUCUGGUAUAUAUUCAUUGAUGCAGAAGCUAGAAGCUCAUUGAUAUUAUUUUUCUUGCCAAACAUACAAAGGAUUGUGCAUAAAACUUCCAGCUUGAAAUCUACAUCUGGGUUACGAGCUUUCUCCAGAAUUUAAGAACAUCGUUGUGGACAUUUAGAUAUUUUUGUAGUAUUCUUCAGGGUCUUGACUUAAUUUCUUUUCACACAGUAAAAUAUUAAUUAUAUGUUGUACAGUAGUAGUACUGUGCAUACUAUGUACUCAAGUUUAUUGAAGUCAAAGCAGGAAAGGAGAUCAGAGUUCAGGGCAUGUUCAGCUCCACCCAUGCAUCAAGGGAAAUAUAUACGACGCAAAUGAUAACGUGUUCUGCUAGAUGACAUAGUACAAGGUUCAGCAGCGACGACAUGAUCUCAAACAUGCCACUGGCAUGGCACCUAUACUAAACUUGAUUUGUUCUCUCAAUAUGGAGUGUUAAUCUUCUCCUCUGCAUAGUACAAAUAUUCCCUUAGCUCAAAGGAUAUAGACAUGGUGAGUUUGGUUGGAGGAAAUAAGAAUGAUUUAUAAAAGUAAUAAAAGGGAGAUAAUGCUG